rnacentral:rRNA from 1 species
GCGCGCGCAGGUGGUUUCUUAAGUCUGAUGUGAAAGCCCACGGCUCUACCGUGGAGGGUCAUUGGAAACUGGGAGACUUGAGUGCCGAAGAGGAAAGUGGAAUUCCAUGUGUAGCGGUGAAAUGCGUAGAGAUAUGGAGGAACACCAGUGGCGAAGGCGACUUUCUGGUCUGUAACUGACACUGAGGCGCGAAAGCGUGGGGAGCAAACAGGAUUAGAUACCCUGGUAGUCCACGCCGUAAACGAUGAGUGCUAAGUGUUAGAGGGUUUCCGCCCUUUAGUGCUGAAGUUAACGCAUUAAGCACUCCGCCUGGGGAGUACGGCCGCAAGGCUGAAACUCAAAGGAAUUGACGGGGGCCCGCACAACCGGUG